UCUACCUGGACCCCCAAACUCAGGGACAUCAUAGCAGGUAACACUGUCUACCUGUACCCCCAAACUCAGGGACAUCAUAGCAGGUAACACUGUCAACCUGGACCCCCAAACUCAGGGACAUCAUAGCAGGUAACACUGUCUACCUGGACCCCCAAACUCAGGGACAUCACAGCAGGUAACACUGUCUACCUGGACCCCCAAACUCAGGGACAUCACAGCAGGAAACACUGUCUACCUGGACCCCCAAACUCAGGGAGAUCAUGGCAGGUAACACUGUCAACCUGGACCCCCAAACUCAGGGACAUCACAGCAGGUAACACUGUCUACCUGGACCCCCAAAUUCAGGGACAUCACAGCAGGUAACACUGUCUACCUGGACCCCCAAACUCAGGGAGAUCAUAGCAGGUAACACUGUCUACCUGGACCCCCAAACUCAGGGACAUCAUAGCAGGUAACACUGUCUACCUGGACCCCCAAACUCAGGGAGAUCAUAGCAGGUAACACUGUCUACCUGGACCCCCAAACUCAGGGAGAUCAUGGCAGGUAACACUGUCUACCUGGACCCCCAAACUCAGGGAGAUCAUAGCAGGUUAUACGGUCUACCUGGACCCCCAAACUCAGGGAGAUCAUGGCAGGUAACACUGUCUACCUGGACCCCCAAACUCAGGGAGAUCAUGGCAGGUAACACUGUCAACCUGGACCCCCAAACUCAGGGUGACCAUAGCAGGUAACACUGUCUACCUGGACCCCCAAACUCAGGGAGACCAUAGCAGGUAACACUGUCUACCUGGACCCCCAAACUCAGGGAGAUCAUAGCAGGUAACACUGUCUACCUGGACCCCCAAACUCAGGGACAUCAUAGCAGGUAACACUGUCUACCUG